ACCCAGCAUUGCACUAUGAAUCAGUGACACAGUCUAGAUUCAGCUACCUCUGAAAAAAACCCAUCUAAACCUGCAUGAGGCUUUGGGAGGAUAUAUAGACACCAAUUAUGACAGAUAAUUUUAUUUCUCUCUUUCUCAUUUAUAUGACUUUUGUAUGUCUUGCCUAAUUGUUUUAGGUAGGACUACCAAGACAGUGUUGAAGAUAAGUGAUAAGAGAAGUUGCAAUUUGGGCCAAAGGAGAAGAAGGAGAAAGUGGCCAUCAGGGAGAGAAACCUUAUAAAUGCACCUUGGAUGGCUGCUCCUGGAAAUUUGCUCACUCAGAUGAGCUCACACACCAUUUCUGUAAGCACACAGGUACCAAAUUCUUCAGGUGCACAGACUGCAACCACAGCUUUUCUCGAUCUAACCACCUGUCUCUGCACCACCGAUGCCAUGACACCAUGUAAGCUCCACAGGCCACUCCAGUGGAGGUGUACUCGUUUAUUUCCUGUGUAUAUGUUACAGACACAACCCUAUUUUGCUUUUUGACUUGGACUUGCCUCUGGAAUGGGAUUGGAGCAGCCUACUGAGCCAGACUGAGGUGACUGGCUUUCCAUGGGACCCUUUAUAUUCCACCUUCACCUCCACUCUAUCUAGACUUAACUUUCUGAGCCUCUGCAUGGAUUGAUUUCUAGUGUGGCAUGCAUGGAUGCCCCUAACCUCAAUCUUCCCUCCUCUGAAAUAGACAUUCUUCCUACAAUAACAAAACAGGAAUCAAACUCAAGGCUGUGAACAAAUGUUUGCUGCUUCAUUUUCCCUUUAUUUUACCCUUGUUUUUUAUGAUUGUUUCAAUUCUGGGAUGGAUGAAGGAUAACUAUGAAGUUAAUAGGUAUACUACACUACUUAGAGAGAUUUGCAAGCUGCUGAUAAGGAAUAUUCUCAGCCUUAUAUCAAAGUUAAAAGUUUUAUAAAUUCAACCUUAUUUCUACUUAUGGUUUGGUUUUCAGGCAGUGCUGGUGCUUCUUUUUUUAAACCCAUCAAAGGGAAUAAAGAAAUUUUAUCUUUUUCUUCCUCUUCCACCUGCUUUAAGAGUAAAGAUUAGGUGGAACAGUUACAUGCCUUGUUAGGUUACAUUUGGGCAAAUGUCCAAAGUACAGCAAGACAAUUGUAAAAGAGACAAGGAUUUUGAAAUAAAUAUGUCCAUCAGAGACAAGAACAAGUAGACUUAGAAUGAUCCUGAUGGCAAAUAAAAGGUGAGUUUCAUUUAGAAAGGAUAGCAACAGUGAUAUUAAUCACAAACUGCAUUCAAAUGGCAGUCUUUUGAGAUGUCUUGUGGGAUGACUCUUUACUGUUUAUCCCUUUGUUUACAUAAACAAAUUUGGUCUGGUAUAUAAUGAAGAAUCACACAGAGGCCAUGUCAUAUAGAGGUGAGUAGUUGGAAGAAAGGAAUUGUGUUCACUGCAUGACAUUUUGGCACUUAUUCCUGUGCUUUAUAAUGAAUAUACGAAGCUUUUGGUAAAAAUUAACUUUAAAAGGCAGUUUGAAGUUUUAUAAUUAUAAUGAAGACCUAAGACAUUUCUUUUACCCAUUACAGCAGAUUGUGUAAUACACACAUUUGGUUGUCCAGUCAGACUGUUUCAUAAUAUCCUUUGGGCUAUACACCCUAUUUCUAUCCCUGAAUCUCAGAUCUACUUCCAUGAGAUGUAUUUCCCCUUCCAGGAUAAAGUGAGUGGGGCACUGUAACAAUUGAAGUCAACUCAGUCAACAAUUGAAGUCAACUGUCUCCUAAAGAUUGUCUUCUUAUUGAAUCCUUUUUCCUUGGCAGAUACUUAAUCAAUCUCUGCCUGAAUGUUUUAGGUUACUACCUCUUGAGAUGUCCAUACUAAUUAAACCAUAGAAUUCUAGUAUCCAAAGGGGAUUUUAUAAUGUUUAUUCCUACACAUCUCUCAUAUGUAAGAGAGGUGAUAAAUAUGGGUCAAGUUCUUCAAAUUUUUUCUUGAGGCCUUAUAGACCUGCACACUCAUUGUCCUAGAGAUGACACAAUUAAAACAAGAAAAAUGAAAAUUUUAUGUGAUUGGCUAUAAUAUUUAUCCAAUUUUAUGUUACCUUUCAAAAACUUUACUACAGAAAACCAUUUACAGUUGAAAAAAUGUCUUUGUAGUUAUUGCCAUAUAACAUUAGACACACAGAUUUUUAAUUCUAAAACUUUUGUAAUACCUAGAUUUUUAUUUACCUCAUUUCAAUUUGUAAUGUCUUUUCAGACCAUAAACCCUCUAUAAAUUAAGGAUCACUUACAUUUUUGAAAUAACAUGUAGGAUUUUACUACUAUCAUUAUUAUUUUGUCAUGGGCUUUUUCUUAAUUUUGGAUAUACAAGUCCAAGCUAUGAACUAAUUACUGAUGCAGUAGGGAAUAUUUAGGGCCUAUAUGCUAUUCAGAACCUCUGAGUAGCUAUGAAAUCAUUUGGAACUGGCGGACUCCGAUCUUACAUACAUUCAAACUUUACAAUUGUGUAGCUGGUACAGUAUUUCAGAGUAGAGCUCAAAGGUUUAACCUUUACCUCCAUGGUUUGGAUACUGAUUCCUUUUCUAGAGCUCAUCUGUGACCCUAAGAUCUCAAGACAUUUGCAUUGGGUGUAUGGCCUAUUUAAAAGUAAUUAAGAUGAUUAAAUAAGUAUCCUAAAUAUUGUUGUCCCUGCGAAAUCUUCAGGGGAAGAUUUAUUUAAAAUUUUUUCUGCAAAAUAGUAAGUGACUGUUAGUAAUUAGCUUUAGUCAGGAAGCAAUUCUAACUCUAUUUUCAUUGUUACCAUUUUCCUACCCACCCACAAAACAAAAACUUUUGAAUGAUUUAACAUAUUUUAAGAAAUGUGUUAAAAUUCUAUAAAGAUAUUUCAUAAAGUAUGUAAAUUAAAAUACAGUGCUACUGAAGAGUUACACCACGAAAAGCAUGUAAAAAUUUUACUAGGUAGAUCGUGAGAUACUAAAAAGUAUCUCACUUAGGAAACAUUUUGGAUUUCAUUGAAUUUGGUAUAUUUAUAUCAACAAAGCAAAGUUAGCAUGACAGUUGCCUAGGACAUAGCAAUGGUCUUAUAUAAUGAGGUUGCAUAAUAUCUUGGGAUUUGUUGCGGUGGAAUUUCACGAUCUGUAGAUUAUUGGCAGUUGAACAUAACUAUUUUAUAAUUCUGAUUGUAAAGUUUAAGAAAGAUUACAUGAAAUGUGAACUUGUAAGGUAAAUUAGUGGAGUGUUUUGUGUUUAAAAUACAUAUAUUGGCAACAUGAAAAUCUUUUCAAAUAAAGUUUACAUUUGGAACACUUUCAGGUUUACAGAAAAAUGGUCAAGCUGGUACAGGAAAUUCCCCUAUACCCUGCAUCUAGUUCCAUGUAUUAUUAACUUUGAACACUAUUAUUGUACAUCUGUUACAAUUAAUGAAACAACAUUGAUAUAUUAA